CUAACAGGCAGUGGAGCAGAAGCAGGGUGUGCCUCCUGGAAUGACCCAGGUGUCUGAAGAAGAGGACCUGCAGGCAGCAGAGGAGCUCAGAAUCAAAGCCCUGUUGACUGGAAUGGCUGCCAUGGCAACAGAGGAAGUACAUUUCUAAAUGCUUAAAAUGCAAAGGAGUUAAAAAGGAUGAUUCACCUAAAAAUGGGAAGUUGUCAGCCAGCACAGUGGGGCAGAUUGUUGGACUGCAGUCUGAGGAGAUCAAGCAAAUCGACACUGAAUAUGCCGAGAAGAGCGCUCAGUGGAGGAUCGGCCAGAGAGAUUUGGACCUGUUCAGCAACACCGGCGACAACUGGCGUCACUCAACAAACAAAUCACUCAGAAAACAAAAGAACUGGAAGAGCUGCACACAGCAUGAAGCCAGAGCGACCUGUGAGGAUGCUAAAACUACUAAAAAAAACUAGCCGAGGCCACAGCACAGACUGAAGAUCUGGAGCGAGAGCUGAGUUCACUGGAGGACGUGGAGUCUCAGACGGAUUCUGGGUAUGUAAACAGAGCACCUGGAAGUAUCUAAACAUUAGGUUGCAUCUGAAAUCGCUUACUCUCUGAGUAAGUUCUUCUUUUGAACAAGUACUUACUUCCUGCUAUAUAGUAAUUAAGUAAUUUUAGACAAUACAAUCCAUUCUAAACUUGGUGAGCUCUCUAGUUAGACAGCAUUUUAACAUUCCUGACAUGAAGGCACUUCAAAAAGGUAGCUAAGGUACCAUGUUCUGGCCAAACUCUAAAGGCAUGGCCACAUUAGUAAAAAUUUAAUGGCCAAAAAAGGUUCACCUCAAAGGUCUGCUACAGUAGUGUAGCGAAUGUAUAAAGCACCACUCAUACAGAAGUAACAUUCAGAGCAUUCAGCUUUCUGUUGGUCACUGUUGCAAAUUCACAAAUAAACCAAUGCAAAAUUUGGGUGGGGAAAUCUUUCGUCAACACACAAAAUUCCUGAUUGCGUGGAUUCCUAUUGAAAUUACUGCAUUUCAUCUGGAAAGUUCACAGAACAACUGUAAAUGUGGGUUACAUAGUUCUGUCUAACUAGUCAUGGACUAUUUGCUUCGUGUGUAUGAUAUGCUUAUUGGAGCACAGUGCCAUCAGCUUAGCAUCACACUAACACCAAACUGUAUAGAAAUCCGAUGAGAAAAAGUAUAGCCAAACAGCCUGAGAAUUCUUAGAAAGUGUCAGUGUCCAUGUGUUAUUUUGAAGUACUGUGUUUGUUUUUAUCUUUUGUAGGUUACUGGAGAAGCUUCGUGCAUUGGUGGCCAUGAAUGAAAACCUCAAACAUCAAGAGCAAACGUUCUGCUCACACUGUCGCGUAUGUUACGGUGACAACAUUGUUGUUGCAAUAUCUUUAAUACACACUCCUUUAAUACACAACUCCCAAGUGGCACUUCAAAACACACUCGCAUUCCCUGAUGUUGGUAUUUCAUUGCAUUACAGCCUCAUGCUGAGAUCACAUCUGCUUUCAGUAUGUUUAUGUCAGCCUAGAUUAUCUUGGGUUCUGUGAAGCAUUUAACUAAUGCACUGUUUAACUAGAAAUGUUUUGCACCUUUUUUAAACCCAUAAUGUAUAUAACACAGAUUCCCUUACUAAUCACUUUUGUUUUUAUAUCAUAAUAAAAAUCUGCCGUCAGAACAAAACCCAUUAAAGGAGAAAUUAACUAGUUGCUUUGUGGAUACCUGCAAACU